GACCUGGUAGCACAAUGAUUAGUGCAUCUGCCAGCAGUAAAGCGAGGUUGAAUGUUAUAAUGCACGCAGAUGAUCCCGGUUUGAUUCCGGGUCGGGUCC